UAGCUGUUUAAAAAUGAGCACGAACAAUGCACAGGCACUUUUUGCGUGCUCAAGAUGUUUUUCAAGGCAUCCUUUCGAGGAUCUUUCACCAGGACAACAAUUAUGCAAGGAAUGUAGAGGUGCAUUCCCUGUUGUGAAAUGCACAUACUGCAGGUCGGAGUUCCAACAGACGAUAAAAGGAAAUACAAGUACCAUAUGUAAAAAGUGCGAACAAAAUGUCAAGUCAUAUGGAAAACCAUCAGCGUGCGAAUAUUGCAACACCAUUGCUGCAUUUAUUGGCAGUAAGUGUCAACGGUGUACUAAUUCUGAAAAACGUUAUGGUCCUCCAGUCACUUGCGAGCAAUGCAAGCAGAAGUGUGCCUUUGACAGACAGGAUGAAGAUAAAAAGGUUGACGGCAAAUUGUUAUGUUGGCUUUGUACUCUAUCUUAUAAGCGGGCCUUGGCUAAGACGAAACAAUCAGAUGCUGAGAGGAGAGCGCAUAUGAAACUAGCUCAACAACGGGCCGCUAAACACAAGGAGCACAAAUUAAAAGGUCACAAUAAGAGGCCACAGAGAGUUGAUGUUACUAAGCUGCCACCGCAAUCAGAAGGAGGAGAUACGAAUGGCCCUACUCCAGUUAAGGUUGCACGAAUGGCCGGUGUACACGAUCCUCACGAUCCAAACAGUUCAGAUCAUGUGGUUGCAGUUACACAACUUAAGGAGAAAAUAGCUCAUCUUCAAAAACAAAUCAGUAUGAAAGAUAGUCAGCUCCUUGCUAAAGACAGACAGAUAACGGAAUUGAAGGCAAAAAAUUUUACAUCUGAGACAGAGCUACGCAAUAAGAUGAAAGCAACCGAAAAGGAAUACGAAGCUAAAGUAUCCAACAUGCAACAUAAAAUAUCGAGUUUGUUAAAGGAAGUAGCAUCAUUAUCGAAGACAUCCAAACGAGGUGACAGAGUAGCUGCUACUAAGACUGAAGCUGGGACCAACAGUGGAAGUGGAACAGACAGCCCUGUACCUUGAUAAGAUCGAUAACAACGAAUGGAGAAAAGGGUCCAGUUUUUCCAUUCACUCGUCGCGCGUAUUUUGAAACAACGCUUACGCGAAAUGGAACGUUCUUAAGGCAUCUCGCACACGAGUCUUAAUAAACAAGGUAACGAGAAGAAACGAGAACGACGUAACAACAAGGACAACGCAACGACAACGAUGACAGAGACGAGUUGAGAUCGUCAACCUUUCUUCUCGAUUUUCACGACUACUCGCAUCAGGGAAUCCUUCAUUUCCCCUAGCGAAAGAAAGAAGUUUUCGCGCGAAUCGACACUCGACGACUACUAACCCAGAUACGUUACUUCGGGGUCGAUGAUCUUUUCUCUUCUCGAAGAACCGGCAGAUCUACGAAGACCGUCAUUUUCUAUGGUUCUUCUUAACACUAGGAUGCAUCUUAGACGAAUCUUAUUUUCUUUAUUUCAUUCUCUUUUCGAAUUCCCCAAGAAUAUCUCAAUUUCUCGUACGAAGAAGUUAAAUAUGUAUAAGUAUAGAUAGUAAGUACUAAUAUACUUGGUUAUUUGAAUUUAAUAUAUUUGUAAACGGUCUUUCGCACAUGUACGAUGGCAUCGAAGUCAAAGAUAAUUUUAGCGACAAAACGUUGUUAGUCCAAAGUGAAACGUACGACGGCCUUAACAAUUUCUAGAAGAAGGUCAAAUGCAUCAACGCUGUUCCGGUUCGAAGCUACGAGUGUUAUCGACCUCGUACCAAGCCAGACGUGUCGGCAAAGAAACCUAGACGUUUUGGGUUCGGUUUUUCUUUUGCGACAAAUUUAUUUUCAUUCGACGGAAGGGCGACAAUUUUCUUGCAAGAUCGUGCUCAAAAUGAUCGCGGAGAAUUCUUAAGACUACGAAAACAUGAUAAUUAAGAAAAUAAUAGUAACGUGUCGUUAGAAAUUGGGGGGAAGUUAGAACCAACCGUCUUGGUGAGUCGCGUUGCUUUAAAGGCCAUCGUACUCUUUCGCUGGUAGCGAAAUGUAAACCGGAAAAGCGAGAAGCAAGUGAAUUAGCGAAGUGAGUCCGCGAUUCCCCCUUCCAAAGUAGCGUUCUACGAGCCCUCUCCUACCGCUUCGUCCUUCUUUCUCCUCGUUCGCAGCACCUUCUUCCAUUCUCUCGCCACGGAUCCGAAAGAAGGUCUCUACCGGUCGUUGUCCCACUUGGAGGUCUACUUGGACUUGGACUUGGACCACACCAUAGGCAUGGUGCGCUGAGUAACGAGGUUCCGAUACCCCCAUAGGGGAUCCCCUUUUACACCUACCUACGCGUUCUUGCGUUUGUACGUGUGUACAAGCCUUCCAGGGGCGGAUCUUCUUCGAUGUUUUUCUAUCUUUCUUCUUUCAAUAUUUGUUUUCUUCUUCGCACAAACAAAAACUUUAGUCUCGCGAGAAGACACGUUUGUUUGAAGCUAUGACGAGUUCGUAUAUCGAUUGGAUUGAAUGAUAUUUUGUCAAAGUACGACGUAAUAUUGAACGUAAUGCUCGAUCCGUUCCUGUAGAGUGGCACGUUCUGCCAUCGAAACCAAACCGCAUUACUCGCCUAACUGUACAUAGCAGUGUGUGUACCAAGGUACCGUAUAGGUACGACGACUAAACGGUCGUAAAACCGUGAGUGCGCGAGGACGUCGUCCACACGUGGGCCACUAUGCGCGCGUCUAUGCGUGUACAGGUGCGCCAGGUACCGUUCUACGACCGGACAGGAGACACGGCCAAAAGUAAAACCGAAUUCGUUUUCGGUAAAGAGCCUCAUGUCAUACGAUCUCUAUACGUACUACUAAUACUUUUUAUACGUAUGAGAUACAUAUGUAUACAUAACUCGUCUUUUUUUUUUGUUACAUUUUCUUACCUCUUCCUCCUGGAAUAUCCUUACGAUGAUCGAAGCGUCUUUCAUUAUAUUCGAUUACUUAUUAUGUAACGUGCAGAUGAAUCGUCACGACAGGUCGGAGACAUCGUUUAUUCGAUAUUCUCAUCUUAAACCGAUUCAAAGCUACUAACGUAAGUGAGAUAAUUUAUAGCGAUGCUCGAAAUGAUACUUUAUUUAAAAAGGUCGAUGAACGCAAAUUUCGCCCGAUCAUCGACCCGUUUCUCAUUUGACUUUGAAGACUACAUAUAUACGACUAGAAUAUUAAUUUAUACACUCUAAUGGAAAUUUGUCCUGUAUUAAAAAGUUGAAAAGAGAUAGGAAAAGUAUAAGUGGAAACAGAUGGGAUCUAGUCAGACCCGUGCGGUUUCCGCGAGCAAAGUAGUAGUAGUGGUCGACGUCAGAUCGUACGUGCGCUGGUGCUUUCAAUGAGGCCACGUGAUCAGUGGCAGUGGCGUAGUAUCGAGGGGACCUGUCUCUCUUUCUUCUCGUUUCCUCUCCAGAGUCACGGCCGACCGCUAUUUCGUGUCUCUUACCCGCUAGCGGGCUGCGCACUUUUAGCGAGAAUUGUGCGGCCUGCGCAGCUCGGUUCACCGUUCCGUGGGUUGUUGAACCCGACUCUCUUGCGCGCUGCAUAACCCAUUUUGUAAUAGCACACUUCGUGCCGCGAACCGGCACAUCGGCAUCCUUAUACGAAACGGACCGCUUUAACGAUCUCUAACGCGUAUCUAUCGCGAUCGAUGACGAAUUUUCUUAAAUCCCUUUUCCUUACAACUUUUCACUUUCAAACGGAAUAACAGUAGGACGAUAACUUUGAAUGUAAAAAAAAAAGAAAAAAAAAAAGCAACGUGGUGUGCAACCCUACUGUUAUAAACUAUAACUUAACGAGUUAUUAUUGGAUUUUUCUUUUAAUAUUUCUACACGGUGAUAGAAAAUUGUUGAUUAUUUCGGUCGUAUAAUGGUGUCUACUAGCGUUAAGAGUCUUGAGGCAGGUCGAACGCUUUCGUUUCUUGCCAGCGGUGGUUGCUGCGUUUGAUGCACGAGCUUAAUGAAAUGAUAUUUGAUAAGCUUCUGUUAUUACUUUUAUGUAAUUUCAUCAUUGAUAUUUUGAAACAUUCUAGUCUAAUUACGGUACAUAUAAACAAUUGGUCACAUUACUUAGUCAUUAUGAGAUGAAAUUAAUAAUCGUUCGAAAUAAAUCGUACGUACGUAAUAGUUGUGUGUGUAUGUGUGUGUGAGAGAGAGAGAUUAAAUAACGGAGUCCGCUCGUUUCCGCAUUGAAUGGCGAACUUCAAUGUCAAUGCCAGCCGCCCUUUCACCUUAUAUAACAAACGACCGUGCUCGCAGGCUCCCAACUCGCGUACAUAUUAUUCCUUUCGACUACGUUCCUACCAAUGAACUAAACUUUCCACGAAAGCAACAAUCAUUUUUCAAUAAUUUAAGUCUUUGACCGUUCACUUCCUCUCGUCCUACUUUGGAUGUUUGAAGAAAUUUUUUGUCCAACAUGUUAUUCUCCUAGAUAAACGAUGUCCUGUCGAUUAUAAGAUGAUAUAUCAACUAUGGUUUUAAGUAAUUAGUCACUUAUCGACAAAAUGCUAAUCAACUUGUCACAAUUUUGCUAGAAGCGUCCAUCAUUAUUAUGCUAAUACGAUCGAAUAAUCACUUCAUCGGAAUAUUCAUUAUUUUGAAAUGAAAUUAUUAUUUUGAAAAUUUAUAUUUAUUUCUCUUGAUCAAACUCAAACUACGUUCGUGUACAUCGCUAUCGAAUUGCUUCCUGCUUCACUUCUUCCUCGGUUUACAUAUUAUUGCAUCGUACUAGUUGUUAAUAAUUAAUUAUUAAUUAACCAAGACUCUAUCUUCGAGAUGACAAUGAAAUUUGUAUAAUCUUUUCUUACUCUAAUAGAAUGACAUUAGGAAUUUUGUAUUACGUCCCCGUUUUUCAUGAAAUCAAAACUGUAUGGUAAUAUCAAUCAACGUUUGCUUUCGAUCAUACAAUCAUCGAUGUUUUCACCGAAAAAAGAAAAACAAAAUAAAUUUACAAUAAUAAAAAGAAUACAUAAUCGAGCUAAAAAAAACUCCUCAUACAAUGUGUCCAAAUAGAAAUUCAUUAUCCAGUGAGAUAUAUUAGGAUGAACCAAAUGUUCGCAAGUUUAUUGUGUUGUUUCAGACAGUGCAACUUUCAGUCAAUAAAAUGACUUUAUAUGCGAGUGAAAUAUCAAUUUAAAAAUGCACACAUAAACUUUUGAUUAACCCUAAUAUUUUUCGAUACGAAUCUUUAGAGUCUGAUAAUGGAAAAAUAAAAAAGAAACUCAAACGAAGUAAAAUGAGGGAAAUAAGGAAUAAUUGUUAGUUCAGUUAGGCAAGGAAAAGUAUGUGUCGAGAGUUGAGGUUGAGGUUGAGGUUGACGUUGGAGGAAAAGUUGAACGGUUCGAGAGAGACUCGGUGCUGUCACUAGUAGUUGGAGCAAGGCUAAAAGAGAAGCGAAGUGAAGCGAAGGGAGGGAAUCUCACGGCUGACGGCUGGCCGUGACUUUACUCAACUCAGCCGGCACUCGGGCCGGCGCAACGCGUCAAUGUAGAACGGUCAUUGACUCUUGGAGAGCUCGAUUCGCGAGCCUCCUAUAUACCUAGUACCUACGGCUACGCUUUACACGUUACGUUAUUUCUCCACGAGACACCGGGUAUAUGAUUUUUUUUUCUUCCAAUCCCCCUAAAUAUAAACCCAGUC